AGGUGCGAUCAUACCAGCACUAAUGCACCGGAUCCCAUCAGAACUCCGCAGUUAAGUGUGCUUGGGCGAGAGUAGUACUCGGAUGGGUGACCUCCUGGGAAGUCCUCAUGUUGCUCCUC
rnacentral:rRNA from 2 species